UACGUAGGCAGCGAGCGUUGUUCGGAGUUACUGGGCGUAAAGAGUGCGUAGGCGGUUGGCUAAGUUUGGUGUGAAAUCUCCCGGCUCAACCGGGAGGGUGCGCCGAAUACUGAGGGACUCGAGUGCGGGAGAGGAAAGUGGAAUUCCUGGUGUAGCGGUGAAAUGCGUAGAUAUCAGGAGGAACACCGGUGGUGUAGACGGCUUUCUGGACCGUAACUGACGCUGAGACACGAAAGCGUGGGUAGCAAACAGG
rnacentral:rRNA from 1 species